rnacentral:rRNA from 1 species
UACGUAGGGGGCAAGCGUUGUCCGGAAUCAUUGGGCGUAAAGAGCGCGUAGGCGGUCCGGUAAGUCCGCUCUGAAAGUCCGGGGCUCAACCCCGGGAGGCGGGCGGAUACUGUCGGGCUAGAGUCCGGAAGAGGCGAGUGGAAUUCCUGGUGUAGCGGUGAAAUGCGCAGAUAUCAGGAGGAACACCGAUGGCGAAGGCAGCUCGCUGGGACGGUACUGACGCUGAGACGCGAAAGCGUGGGGAGCAAACAGG